rnacentral:rRNA from 1 species
CCUACGGGUGGCUGCAGUGGGGAAUAUUGGGCAAUGGAGGAAACUCUGACCCAGCAACGCCGCGUGAAGGAUGAAGGUUCUCGGAUUGUAAACUUCUUUUGCGAGGGAUGAAGAAUGACGGUAUCUCGAAAGAAAGCCCCGGCAAACUACGUGUCAGCAGCCGCGGUAAUACGUAGGGGGCGAGCGUUGUCCGGAAUGUCUGGGGGUAAAGGGAGUGUAGGCGGGAUAGUAAGUUAUGUGUGAAAGCCCGCGGCUCAACCGCGGAAUUGCGCAUAAAACUGGUAAGCUGGAGUGCAGGAGAGGUAGGUGGAAUUCCCGGUGUAGCGGUGGAAUGCGUAGAUAUCGGGAGGAACACCAGAGGCGAAGGCGACUUGCUGGACAGUAACUGACGCUGAGGCGCGAAAGCGUGGGGAGCAAACAGGAUUAGAUACCCGAGUAGUC